UACGAAGGGGGCUAGCGUUGCUCGGAAUCACUGGGCGUAAAGGGUGCGUAGGCGGGUUCUUAAGUCAGAGGUAAAAUCCUGGAGCUCAACUCCAGAACUGCCUUUGAUACUGAGAGUCUUGAGUACGGGAGAGGUGAGUGGAACUGCGAGUGUAGAGGUGAAAUUCGUAGAUAUUCGCAAGAACACCAGUGGCGAAGGCGGCUCACUGGCCCGGUACUGACGCUGAGGUGCGAAAGCGUGGGGAGCAAACAGG
rnacentral:rRNA from 1 species